AAUAACAGUAGUUAAAACCAUUUGACCAAAGGAUUCCACUACUGAUAUUUUAAUACCGGUAGUGAAAAGUUUAUAGACAAGGGAUUUCACUACUGGUUUUCUUAAAUCAGUAGUGAAAAGUAGACACGGUGGCAAUAUUGUAAUUACAUUAAAAUUUGUUUUAAUUGGAUUUCACUACCGAUUUGGAUUUCACCCGUAGUGGAAUCCCUAUUAGUGUUUAAUAAUUAAAUAAUUUGUUCAUUCUCGCAUUCUUCAUUCUUCACAUAUCGUUCCCAAUUUCUUCCGCCGUUCCCAAUUUCUUCACAUAGCGAGAACACACAGCGCGGUUCCCAAUUUCUUCAUUCUCAUUCUUCAUCUGCGAGAACACACAGCGCCAUCGUCCCCAAUUUUAUCUGGUGAGUGUUCCCAAUUUCUUCAUCGUCCCAAUUUCUUCAGCGCUUGCAGAUUUAUCUUGUUGGCUUCAUCGUUCCCAAUUUCUUCAUCGUCCCAAUUUCUUCCCUUGCGAGAACACACAGCGCCAUCGUCCCUAAUUUCUUCCCAAUUUUCAUUCCCAAAUCGCCAAAUCCCUAAAAAUCCCAAUUUCUUCAAUCAUUCUCCAAACCCUAGACGGCGACCCCUUUAUCAUUCUCCAAAUUUGCUUCAAUCUGCGGUGACAAGCUUCAAUCUGCGGUUACCAGUGGAGUUGGGUUGCAGACUGCUCGAUUUGUUUGGAUAGAAAGAGUUGGGUUGGUGUUUAGAUCCUCAAGCUCAUCUCAGUUGCUGGAAUCAGUUCCACUUCCGAAUGUGAGAAUCUUUAUUUAUAUCUUCAAUCAGUUUGAAUAUGUCUUAAAUACUUCACUAGGCUAAUAUUAUCAUUCCAUAACUAUAAUAUUUUGAUAACUCCUGAGUUCUAUAAUAUGAUUUUCUUAUGAUAUGUUACAGAUAAAAUGGAUUUGUCCUACUGCUCCUAAUGCUCCUAAUAUGCGCACUGUGUUUGUGUGUUUUUUGCUGCAGUGAUUGGUUUGGAGUUUUGGUUUCAGACUAGGCUUUUGGUUUAAGGAAGAGAGUAUUGAUUCAUCAAAAUUUGUACACCUUAUUAUUAAUUCAUAUAUAACUUUCGGUUGAAUUACUUGUUCACUUUGAUUGGGUUUCAUUAACUAGAAAGGGUAAAUUUUAUUCACAUUAGUAAGGUUUGUUUAUUAUGCUAAGCUUUUUUGUUUGUGAUUUAUGUCUUUGAUUAGGUAUGCAGUGAAAGAAAGUAGCAUUUCUCAUUCUAAGUAUAGUUCCAUGGAAAGGUAAAUAAUCUUGAACUCGAAUAUAUACAAAGAGGUGAAUUCAAGAAAUUUACACCAUUGAUGUGUCAAUUAAAAAUAUGAAGUUCGAUCUAGUAAUAAUGAUAUGCCAUAGUAAGAUUGGUUAUGAAAUUUCAGUGUUUUGUUUUACUAUAUGCUUUUUGUUGGGAUCAAUUCCAGUGAACACUAAAGGUAUGUAUGUUCAAAAUUUUGAUGGCUAUAUUAUAUUGCUAACUGCUUCAUUCUUUUUGUAUAAUUUUGAUAGGAAUUAAGGACUAAUUUGGGGAAAUGAGAUAAAGUAGUAGAACUCACUUUGAUUUCACAUAUGACUCUUUGUCAACAUAUCUAUUCAAAUUUGUGGCCAGUUAUGAAGGGUCAUUCAAGGUUUGUUUGUACAACCUGGAGAUACUUGAGGCAGCCAGCCAAUAAGAAGCGGCGCCUGCCUACGUUCACUUGGUUUACCACAAGCACCUUCACCACCUACACAGGUGACAGACAACGCCACCUAUAUAUACUUGUGUAUUUUUUUAUGCAAUAGCUUCAUCAGCAAACAAUAGCUAUGUUAAACUAUGACUAUUGCAAUGUGCAUUUUACUUGGUGUAAACUAGUUUAAUAUCAUUCUUUAGUUUUGCUUCUUUGUUUCAAUAAGAUUAGAAAAUAGAACUUGUUAUGGUCUCUUCUCUUCUGCCCUUAAUUUAUGGUAUAUAACUAGCAGCUGCCACUACACUACUAUCUCAUCUUGCAUCAGUGUUGCUAAUUACUAUUGUUACUUAGUUCAUUGUAUAGUUUGGUUAUAAAAAUUGUUGUUUAGAAUUGAAAAUUGCAUCGGUGUUUGCUUACUACUGUUGUUUAGAAUUGAAGUUUGAAAUGGUCUUGUGAUGACAGUUAGUAGUAGUUAGUUAAUAUAAUUCUAAGUAUUUAGUUUCAUGAGUUAAAAAAAUUCUAAACUAUUGCUAGUUAGUAUGCUUAAAUGUUAGAGUUGUCAAAUGAAUGCUCUUGCAACAAAGUGUUACAGGCUUAUUGGAAAUACAGAACAAACUAGACUAUUCAUUGUCACUGCUAAGAUAACUGAGUCUUGGAUGGAGGGCAUUGAAACAUGUUCAGUUUAAUCGAGCUGUUCAUAUACUAAAUUCAGUUACGAAUUUCAUUGGAAAGAGGAAUGCAGUCUGGAAAAUUGGGAAUAGGAUAUUCAAUGUAUUGUAGUAGGAAGGGAAUGGGGUGUGGCUAGGUUACAUUAGAGUUAUAAUGCCUAGUUUUACAACUAAGGUUAUAUGUUAUACGGAUAGUUUUUUCAACUGCGAUGAUUGAAAAAAUUGCUUAAAUUAUUCAAAAGUCAUGUAUCAUGGAUAUAUUACUUCUUUAAUUUGUUCUUUGUGUUUUUUGGAUUUACCCCUA